rnacentral:rRNA from 1 species
UACGUAGGGGGCAAGCGUUGUCCGGAUUUAUUGGGCGUAAAGAGCGUGUAGGCGGCCAGGUAGGUCGGUUGUGAAAACUGGAGGCUCAACCUUCAGACGUCGACCGAAACCCCCUGGCUAGAGUCCGGAAGAGGAGGGUGGAAUUCCUGGUGUAGCGGUGAAAUGCGCAGAUAUCAGGAAGAACACCCGUGGCGAAAGCGGCUCUCUGGAACGGUACUGACGCUGAGACGCGAAAGCGUGGGGAGCGAACAGG